GAUCCAAAGUCAAAUAAGAAAGGGUAUAACAAUCGGGUCUUCUCUUUCCCUUAACCGUUCUUUCUCCCCAAAGAAAAUUAAGUUUUAGGGUUCACUGUGAGAGCUCGAAGAGUUGGUGAAGUUCGUCCUAGUUGAGAAUACAGAAGCUGAUGAUGUUUUAACCAGGAUUAGCGCAACUAUUACCAAUAAACAAACUUGUUUGGAUGGUCUUCUAGCCGCGCCUUCUAUUUUGCAGGUUGCGAGACUGAUUACACUCUUAAUUUCAAAAGUUUGAAGAUUUGGAACCUAAAUGAUUUCAAUAGAGUUGUUGGUGUAUUCAGAUGCCAAGGAGCUGGAUGGCGUAAGGUCGGCAAGAAGAACCUAAUCCACGAUUGUCAACCGGGACGUCAACUGGGAUUGUUCUAAUUGUGUCAAUUACUUACCAAGGAUUGCUCAUGAUGGAUGGACUGGCGAAGCCGUUCUCUAUUCCCAUCUUCACACGGAUUUGGUUUGUCUUCCUAAAAAUGCAUCAAUUCCAAUUACUCUGAACGCGAGAGAAUAUGAAGUCUUUACAGUGGUUGCAAUAAAGGAAAUGUCUAUAGGAUCAAGAUUUGCUCCGAUUGGUCUUGUAAAUAUGUUCAAUUCAGGAGGAGCAAUCAAAGAGUUGAAAUAUGAAACAGAGGGAAAAAGUGGACUAAUCUCCAUGAAGGUUCGCGGAUGUGGCACAUUUGGAGCCUAUUCAUCUACGAAGCCUAAACGAAUACAAGUGCACAAUGAAGAAGUACAGUUUCAUUAUGACGAAUCUUCUGGACUAGUCACUGUUAGUCUUAAGAGUUCCAGACAAAGACUUAUACCUUGGGGAUGUAAAGGUAACAAAGACCCAGAAGCUCAUAUCUUCAAAGUAGACGAUCCGGAAAAUUAAGGUAGCUAUGGAGAAUGAAGUGCUCACUGUAACUGUUCCGAAAGAAGAGGAGAAAGAACCUGAGGUGAAGGCGAUUGACAUCUAUGGUUAAACAAGUGCAUGCAGAUCAACUGUUGUUUUGUUUAAAGUCCUUUGUCAAUUAUAUCUUUUGUAAUUUGAAUUAUGCGUCUGUAAUUGUCUGAGUUGUGGGUCUGUCUUUGCAGUCGUAAACAAGAAAAUGUUGUGAGUUUGAUUAAUGAAUAAUUUCCUUUUAACAUUUA